rnacentral:pre_miRNA from 1 species
UCUUCAUUUCACUCACUCUCUCACCGGUCAGAGAGGAGAGAUAGUGCACAAAAUGAAGAGA